UACGAAGGGGCUAGCGUUGCUCGGAAUCACUGGGCGUAAAGCGCACGUAGGCGGACUCUUAAGUCGGUGGUGAAAUCCUGGAGCUCAACUCCAGAACUGCCUUCGAUACUGGGAGUCUCGAGUCCGGGAGAGGUGAGUGGAACUGCGAGUGUAGAGGUGAAAUUCGUAGAUAUUCGCAAGAACACCAGUGGCGAAGGCGGCUCACUGGCCCGGUACGUGACGCUGAGGUGCGAAAGCGUGGGGAGCAAAGCAGG
rnacentral:rRNA from 1 species